UGCACGCCUAAAGAAAAAGGAGGUUCAAACAAAAACUUCAAAACGCAAAAGAAAUUGGUUGGAUAAGAAGCACAAGGCUAGGAAAAAGAGACAAAGCAAAGCUACAUCACAGGUUGGGGAAGUGGCAUGUAAUGAUGGUGCAUAUGUUCAAUCGGCACAUAUUUCUAUGGUAUGUUGCUAAAUAAUAGUCAUGUUUCCAAUGAAGUUUCUUUUCCUACAAGAUGCAAGAGGUUGGUGAAGGGGCAUGUAAUGCUGGUGCACAAGUACAAGCACAUAUCAUAGAUGAUAGUGUUUCUGGGGACAAAGGGGCAUAUAGUACUGAUUACAAUAUCAAUUUUAGCUGCACUCAAUUGCUGAUGGGACCAAUCACAGGUGAUGCACUUUGUUCUUGGAAUUGGAAGCCAUGUGCUAAAGAAGCAAGCAACUGUCAAGUGUUUAGUUUGGGCCGUAAUUCACUUUAUUUAAGUUUAGUUGAUCUCUUUUGUCCGAUGCACUAAUUUAGUGUUAUGAAUCAGUGUCUUUUAGUUAAUUUAUUUAAUCUCUUCUCUCCUGCACUAUAUUACAAUGGUUUCAUUAAUUUGCUGUCAAUAUUCAAUUUAGUCAGUUCA